rnacentral:rRNA from 1 species
UACAGAGGGGGCGAGCGUUGUUCGGAAUCACUGGGCUUAAAGGGCGCGUAGGCGGGUGCUCAAGUCCGUGGUGAAAUCCUCCGGCUCAACCGGAGAACUGCCUCGGAUACUGGGCGUCUCGAGUGUGGUAGGGGUAUGCGGAACUAUCGGUGGAGCGGUGAAAUGCGUUGAUAUCGAUAGGAACUCCGGUGGCGAAGGCGGCAUACUGGACCACCACUGACGCUGAUGCGCGAAAGCCAGGGGAGCAAACGGG